rnacentral:rRNA from 1 species
AUGGCUGAUUCAGUAUUACUUCAAGGUCAAAUUUUGUCCCUUGAGCCGGCCUCCCCUUACGAUGCUGGUUAUAAUUCCGUGCACGGUAUUAGCCACAAAAUCAUCAGCUUUGCGCUUACCUUUGCUGCCCUGAUUGGCAGGGUUGUACUGCUAUCCCCUCAUACCGCUACUCUUCUUUCCCUUUCCCGAUUUUUCAUCCUCAGAGUCGGGGUCCUUGGUACUAUCAGAGUCGGCAUACUUGACAAGAGCCGCCAUGAUUUCCCCCAUGUCGCUGCAAUGACGCUUAAGCCGUCCAAGCUUCUCCUUGAGUGGAAGGAAACGACAAUUUUUCUCCAACAUUAA